rnacentral:lncRNA from 1 species
GAAUUCUGUGGUCCACGGGAAACGCCUGCGCUGGCCGGGAGUGGCAGUAGGGAGUAGCCCAUGCGUGAUGCCUGGCAAGUUAUGGUCCAUUGAUGGGCGCACGUGGACGUGUCCCCUCGCGCCGCCGCCCGGCCGCCCGGGCCGCCCGCAUGGGACUUUACCAUCACGUGUCCUCGAGCGUCGGCGGUCGGCCGCGCCCGUACGCCGUCGUCGUCGGCUGCGACCUGCGACGGCUUUCUUCGGGCCAAAGCCCGACCGCGGCGUGGAUCGAGGAUUUGAGGUGGUGCGGUGUGGGUGUGGGCGCGCGCGCGCCGGCCGGGCAGCAUCCCAGUUUGUUAACGACUCACACUAUUAGUGUGUAUUGAUUCAACUCACAAUAGCGAUUACAGAGAAUUAUAGUCUAGGAAGGAAGAACAUCGUGAGGAUUAAGGAUAGGAGAAGAAUGUCGAAGCCACUCUACAAGGGUCUAGAAGAAUCUAGAGGGGGAGGUAGAGGAUACAUAGAAGAGAGUAAACUGGAGAAGGAAGAUAACAGUAGCACUCUGAAUAUUCGAUGUCUAUCCUCCUGACCCCGCCCUGCUCUUUUGUAGUCUCUCUUAGCAACCUGGGCUGGCAUUCUCUUAGCAACUUGGGCUGGUAUAGACCGUUUGUGCUCACAUUCCCUGACAUUCUCCCCUUCUUAAAAAUCGGCUUGCCCCCAAGCCGAUACAUGGCAUCAAUUCCACCGAGAUCCCAUUGCAAGUGCAAGCAAUUUAUCCAAAUAAUACCAGUGUGCUAUCCUUUGAUCGGCUGAACAUCGUGAUCACCAGGAUCCAAAACAAAGAUGGAGAAAUUGCCUUGGUCACCGAACUCAUUGGUCUUCUGCAACCCAGGAUCCCAUGGCAUCUCAUCUGUAUUUCUUUGGUGCUAUCCUUUGAUCGGCUGCCCAUGGUCAUCUCUAUUGCUGCACAUACACUUGCUCCCAAGCUGCUGAUACUGUAGAAUAUGAAUGAUUGAUCAGCUUCCUCAAGUGUGCAUAGAACCAUAGCAAACAUGUUGAGCGGUCCACGGCUUGGCCAUAGAAUUGGAGGACUCGUACUAGUCUCCAGCGAAACCACCAAUGACAAGGAUGGUCUACUGUUUAGAUUAAGUGAUUGGAGUUCAACUAUUCUCUGAAUAUUCCCCUCUGGACCAAACCAAGCAUUAAGUGAUUGGAGUUUAUCUCCACCAGCGUAAUAGUAUUCGGGAACAAUUAUGUCUUCAUUGAGCUCUCUUAUCUUACCAACAGGGCUUCGUCUUGACUUGUCAGCUCGGACUACACGAAGCUCACUACCGUAGGCCAUGAGUGUGGACAUGGAGCCGAUUCUAUUGCUGAAGAGGUCAUCAAUGCGUGUUGACAAUUCCUCCAACACGUGAUGUGCACACAAGCUGGCAUGCUCCAGAGACAUCGAGCUCAGCAAGGCAAGGUUUGGAAGGGAAGCACCUGGAAGUGCAUAUGUCAAUGACGAGUGGAGCAGCGUGGAUGUCGAGGUUGGCAUGGUGGUAAGAAUUCUGUCCUCGGUGCUGGUCGAGUGGUAGAUGUCGAACAAGAGCCCGUACUCCUCGGAGUAGGACACCGGGUCUGCUAGAUAAUCCACUCCCCAUGCCGCGAAGGUCUUGGCGUCCUGCUCCUCGUGACCAAGGGACCCGGAAUGGGCCUUGGCGCAGGUCUGGAACCCGACCUUAGAAUAGAUCUCGAGCCUCAGCCCCUUGUCGUAGACGUUGACUGCCAGCUCCUUGAUCUCGUGCGGGAAAGUCUUGGUGUUGGCGCUAGUCACCGGCUUGUCCACGAUGGGCUCCGACGCGACGAUAUUCUCCGGCUCCUCUGGGUCGCCCAACGCCAGAUUGGGCGUCGAUGAGACGUUCAAGCAUUUUGCCGAACACUUGGGUGGCGAGUUGCUGGUGGUGGUCUCCACGACUGCAACUCGAGCCGCUGUUGUUGUGGUCAGGAAUGAGGACGGCGAAGGUGAUGCCACAGGUGCCAUGUGCUUCUCGCUGGUGGCGGCGAAGGGCGCGGCGCCGUCGAGGAUCCCGGCUGCGCACGUGUCGGCGGCAAGCACGCGCGCCGCGAGCGCGACUUCUUGCCUUGCAUCGGCCCCACAGUUGUCGGCGCUGAUGGGCUCCUCGAAGCGCUGCUCGUCGGAGUAGACGCCUCUGUCGAAGAGGCCGCCCGGUUGCCACGCCGUGGCGAGGCCUCCUCUCUCACAGGGCAGGUACCCGCAGUAGUGCGCCCUGGCGUCGGCUCCUGCCAUGGCCUCGUCGCGGUACGGCUCGUAGACGACGGGAGGAAGCGGCGACGGGCUUGCCACGACGCGGUUUGGCUCGUCGACGACGAGAAGAGGAGGCAGUGGACUCACCGCGUCACGGUUCGACUGCAGCAGUCUAGCGAAGCGCCGGUCCAGUCGAGCCUCGGCCGCGUCGAACAUCUUACGGAUCUCUUGGAUAGGGAUGAAAACGGUCGGAAACGGUAUUUAUUCGGUAAUCAGUUUUUUCUUUGAUUGCAAAUAAAUAGGAUAUAGAAUAUACAAUAUAAAUUUGUAUUCUUGUUUUUAACAUUCAGCUUGUUAAGAUUCAUAAAAGGUAAACCUUAAAUUCAUCCUACAUUUUCUUAAAUAAUAGAUAUAAACUUCGGUAUGGAUUCGGAAACAAAUUCGGUAUUUUUUUCAACUUUUUGUGUUGUAGGGAGCAAAUAAUACAUAAAACAACUUAUAUAAUAUUUUAUUCAUAUUUGUACUAAUGUGCUUGAUAACAUAAGAAAAGAUUAACAUCAAAAUUUAUACAUAUCUAUUUUAAAAUAUUAAAUUUGUUCUAACUCUUGGAUGAGGAACUGAGUGGACCGAGAGAUCUCGGUAGAGAAAUCCAUGGUGCUAGGGUUCCGAGAAUCGCUCCUCUGAUACCAAUUGUUAUCGACUCACACUAUUAGUGUGUAUUGAUUUAACUCACAAUAGCGAUUACAGAGGAUUAUAGUCUGGGAAGGAAGAACAUCAUGAGGAUUAAGGAUAAGAGAAGAAUGUCGAAGCCACUCUACAAGGGUCUAGAAGAAUCUAGAGGGGAAGGUAGAGGAUACAUAGAAGAGAGUAAAUUGGAGAAGGAAGAUAACAGUAGCAUUCUGAAUAUUCAAUGCCUAUUCUCCUGACCGCCCUGCUCUUUUGUAGUCUCUCUUAGCAACCUGGGCUGGC